AUUGAACGCUGGCGGCAUGCCUUACACAUGCAAGUCGAACGGCAGCACGGGUGCUUGCACCUGGUGGCGAGUGGCGAACGGGUGAGUAAUACAUCGGAACAUGUCCUGUAGUGGGGGAUAGCCCGGCGAAAGCCGGAUUAACACCGCAUACGAUCUACGGCUGAAAGCGGGGGCCCUUCGGGCCUCGCGCUAGCGGGUUGGCCGAUGGCUGAUUAGCUAGUUGGUGGGGUAAAGGCCUACCAAGGCGACGAUCAGUAGCUGGUCUGAGAGGACGACCAGCCACACUGGGACUGAGACACGGCCCAGACUCCUACGGGAGGCAGCAGUGGGGAAUUUUGGACAAUGGGCGAAAGCCUGAUCCAGCAAUGCCGCGUGUGUGAAGAAGGCCUUCGGGUUGUAAAGCACUUUUGUCCGGAAAGAAAUCCUUGGCCCUAAUACGGUCGGGGGAUGACGGUACCGGAAGAAUAAGCACCGGCUAACUACGUG
rnacentral:rRNA from 1 species